rnacentral:rRNA from 1 species
CAAUGGGGGAAACCCUGNAUGCAGCGACGCCGCGNUGGAGGAAGAAGGUCUUCGGAUUGUAAACUCCUGUUGUUGAGGAAGAUAAUGAUGGUACUCAACAAGGNAAGUGACGGCUAACUACGUGCCAGCAGCCGCGGUAAAACGUAGGUCACAAGCGUUGUCCGGAAUUACUGGGUGUAAAGGGAGCGCAGGCGGGAAGACAAGUUGGAAGUGAAAUCCAUGGGCUCAACCCAUGAACUGCUUUCAAAACUGUUUUUCUUGAGUAGUGCAGAGGUAGGCGGAAUUCCCGGUGUAGCGGUGGAAUGCGUAGAUAUCGGGAGGAACACCAGUGGCGAAGGCGGCCUACUGGGCACCAACUGACGCUGAGGCUCGAAAGUGUGGGUAGCAAACAGGAUUAGAUACCCUGGUAGUCCAAGGGCGAAUUC